UGGGGAAUAUUGGGCAAUGGGCGAAAGCCUGACCCAGCAACGCCGCGUGAAUGAUGAAGGCCUUCGGGUUGUAAAAUUCUUUGGACAGGGACGAAGAAAGUGACGGUACCUGUAGAACAAGCCACGGCUAACUACGUGCCAGCAGCCGCGGUAAUACGUAGGUGGCGAGCGUUAUCCGGAAUCAUUGGGCGGAAAGGGUACGUAGGCGGAUAAGCAAGUUAGAAGUGAAAUCCUAUAGCUCAACUAUAGUAAGCUUUUAAAACUGCUCAUCUUGAGGUAUGGAAGGGAAAGUGGAAUUCCUAGUGUAGCGGUGAAAUGCGCAGAUAUUAGGAGGAAUACCGGUGGCGAAGGCGACUUUCUGGCCAUAUACUGACGCUGAGGUACGAAAGCGUGGGUAGCAAACAGG
rnacentral:rRNA from 1 species